rnacentral:rRNA from 1 species
CCUACGGGUGGCAGCAGUGGGGAAUAUUGGACAAUGGGCGAAAGCCUGAUCCAGCCAUGCCGCGUGUGUGAAGAAGGCCUUCGGGUUGUAAAGCGCUUUCAGUGGGGAAGAAAGCCUUGGGGCUAAUACCCUCGAGGAAGGACAUCACCCACAGAAGAAGCACCGGCUAACUCCGUGCCAGCAGCCGCGGUAAUACGGAGGGUGCGAGCGUUAAUCGGAAUUACUGGGCGUAAAGCGCGCGUAGGCGGUCUGAUAAGCCGGUUGUGAAAGCCCCGGGCUCAACCUGGGAACGGCAUCCGGAACUGUCAGGCUAGAGUGCAGGAGAGGAAGGUAGAAUUCCCGGUGUAGCGGUGAAAUGCGUAGAGAUCGGGAGGAAUACCAGUGGCGAAGGCGGCCUUCUGGACUGACACUGACGCUGAGGUGCGAAAGCGUGGGUAGCAAACAGGAUUAGAUACCCGUGUAGUC